rnacentral:lncRNA from 1 species
GAAAAUUACUACGGCGAACGUCUGCGCAACCAGGCCUCCUUUACCGUUGGAUUUACAGGGGGGAGGAUGCCAGUAAUAUAUUCACGAUAAUAUUUCGAAUUAAAGUAUCAUAUUCUACCAUACUUUCCAACAAAGAGUCGCUGUAUGUUACUUCUUCCUUAAAUUUUUUCAAUCUCCGUCGUUUAAUUUUCUUUUCUUCGACAACAUCUCGAGUUUUAUACAGUAUCCGAUCGAAGGAGUUUUUAUUUUGAAU